rnacentral:rRNA from 1 species
UACGAGAGGCCCAAACGUUAUUCGGAAUUACUGGGCUUAAAGAGUUCGUAGGCGGUAUGAAAAGUAGGGUGUGAAAGCCCUCGGCUCAACCGAGGAAUUGCGCUCUAAACUGUCGUACUCGAGGAACCUAGAGGUGAGCAGAACAGAUGGUGGAGCGGUGAAAUGCGUUGAUAUCGAUAGGAACUCCGGUGGCGAAGGCGGCAUACUGGUCCACUUCUGACGCUGAGGCGCGAAAGCCAGGGGAGCAAACGGG